CUACGGGGGGCACCAGUCGAGGAUCUUCGUCAAUGGGCGAAAGCCUGAACGAGCGACGCCGCGUGCGCGAUGAAGGCCUUCGGGUUGUAAAGCGCGAAAGUGGGGAGAAAGGGAAACUUGAUCGAUCCACAGUAAGGACGGGCUAAGUUCGUGCCAGCAGCCGCGGUAAGACGAACUGUCCUAACGUUGUUCGGAAUCACUGGGCUUAAAGGGCGCGUAGGCGGUCCGACAAGUCAGGGGUGAAAUCCUGCAGCUUAACUGCAGAAGUGCCUUUGAUACUGUCGGUCUUGAGGGAGAUAGGGGUGUGCGGAACUCACAGUGGAGCGGUGAAAUGCGUUGAUAUUGUGAGGAACGCCGGAGGCGAAAGCGGCGCACUGGAUCUCUUCUGACGCUGAGGCGCGAAAGCUAGGGGAGCAAACGGGAUUAGAUACCCUAGUAGUC
rnacentral:rRNA from 1 species